CCUUGACCUCAUUUUCAUGGUUCAGUGGUUAUAGUUAAGUUUUUGUGUUUUGGUCUGUUUUUCCUAUACUGUAUGCCAUAGGUCUACUAUAUUUGGUGUAUGGAAUGAUUGUAAGGUGUACAUGUCUAGCGGGCAGGUGUCAUCUAACCUUGACCUCAUUUUCAUGGUUCAGUGGUCAAAGUUAAGUUUUUGAGUUUUGGUCUUUUUUUCUAAUACUAUAUGCAAUAGUUCAACUAUAUUUGGUAUGUGCGUACCUUGCAAGGUCCUAAUGCCCGUCAGACAGUUUUCACUUGACCUCGACCUCAUUUCAUGGAUCAGUGAACAAGGUUAAGUUUUCGUGGUCAAGUCCAUAUCUCAGAUACUAUAAGCAAUAGGUCUAGUAUAUUCGGUGUAUGGAAGGACUGUAAGGUGUACAUGUCCAACUGGCAGGUGUCAUCUGACCUUGACCUCAUUUUCAUGGUUCAGUGGUUAUAGUUAAGUUUUUGUGUUUUGGUCUGUUUUUCUUAUACCGUAUGCAAUAGGUCUACUAUAUUUGGUGUAUGGAAUGAUUGUAAGGUGUACAUGUCUAGCUGGCAGGUGUCAUCUGACCUUGACCUCAUUUUCAUGGUUCAGUGGUCAAAGUUAAGUUUUUGAGUUUUGGUCUUUUUUUCUAAUACUGCAUGCAAUAGGUCAGCUAUAUUUGGUGUAUGGAAUGAUUGUAAGGUGUACAUGUCUAGCUGGCAGGUGUCAUCUGACCUUGACCUCAUUUUCAUGGUUCAGUGGUCAAAGUUAAGUUUUUGAGUUUUGGUCUUUUUUUCUAAUACUGUAUGCAAUAGGUCAACUAUAAAUGGUGUAUGGAAUGAUUGUAAGAUGUACAUGUCUAGCUGGCAGGUGUCAUCUGACCUUGACCUCAUUUUCAUGGUUCAGUGGUCAAAAAAGUUAAGUUUUUGAGUUUUGGUCUUUUUUUCUAAUACUAUAUGUAAUAGUUCAACUAUAUUUGGUGUAUGGAAAUAUUUUAUGAUCUAUAUGUCAGUCACGCAGGUUUUAUUUGACCUUGACCUCAUUUUCAAGGUUCAUUGCUCAGUGUUAAGUUUUUGUGUUUUGGUCUGUUUUUCUUAUACUGUAUGCAAUAGGUCUACUAUAUUUGAUGUAUGGAAUGAUUGUAAGGUGUACAUGUCUAGCUGGCAGGUGUCAUCUGACCUUGACCUCAUUUUCAUAGAUCAGUGGUGAAAGUUAAGUUUUUGAGUUUUGGUCUUUUUUUCUAAUACUAUAUGCAAUAGUUCAACUAUAUUUGGUGUAUGGAAAUAUACUAUGAUCUAUAUGUCAG